rfam:Hordeum vulgare subsp. vulgare, WGS project CAJW01000000 data, contig: morex_contig_2548644
UAUCUACUCCCUCCGUCCGGAAAUACUUCUCCUAGAAAUGAAUGAAUCUAGACUUAUUUUAGUUAUAGAUACAUCCAUUAUAUCCAUUUUUAUUACAAGUAUUUCCGGACGGAGGGAGUAGUUG